rnacentral:rRNA from 1 species
GUGCACGCUGGCGGUAGGCCUAACCCCUGCCAGUCGCACGGCAGCACAGUAAGAGCUUGCUCUUCCGGGUGGCGAGUGGCGGACGGGUGAGGAAUACAUCGGAAUCUACUUUUUCGUGGGGGAUAACGUAGGGAAACUUACGCUAAUACCGCAUACGACCUACGGGUGAAAGCAGGGGAUCUUCGGACCUUGCGCGAUUGAAUGAGCCGAUGUCGGAUUAGCUAGUUGGCGGGGUAAAGGCCCACCAAGGCGACGAUCCGUAGCUGGUCUGAGAGGAUGAUCAGCCACACUGGAACUGAGACACGGUCCAGACUCCUACGGGAGGCAGCAGUGGGGAAUAUUGGACAAUGGGCGCAAGCCUGAUCCAGCCAUACCGCGUGGGUGAAGAAGGCCUUCGGGUUGUAAAGCCCUUUUGUUGGGAAAGAAAAGCAGCAGGUUAAUACCCCGCUGUUCUGACGGUACCCAAAGAAUAAGCACCGGCUAACUUCGUG